rnacentral:rRNA from 1 species
AACGAACGCUGGCGGCAGGCCUAACACAUGCAAGUCGAGCGCCCCGCAAGGGGAGCGGCGGACGGGUGAGUAACGCGUGGGAACGUACCCUUUCUACGGAAUAGCCUCGGGAAACUGGGAGUAAUACCGUAUAAGCCCUACGGGGGAAAGAUUUAUCGGGAAGGGAUCGGCCCGCGUUGGAUUAGGUAGUUGGUGGGGUAAUGGCCUACCAAGCCGACGAUCCAUAGCUGGUUUGAGAGGAUGAUCAGCCACACUGGGACUGAGACACGGCCCAGACUCCUACGGGAGGCAGCAGUGGGGAAUCUUAGACAAUGGGCGCAAGCCUGAUCUAGCCAUGCCGCGUGAGCGAUGAAGGCCUUAGGGUUGUAAAGCUCUUUCAGUGGGGAAGAUAAUGACGGUAGUGCGAGAAGAAGCUCCGGCUAACUUCGUGCCAGCAGCCGCGGUAAU